UAUUUGGUUGACCAAAAGGUUUGUUUGGGUUUUUCUGUAAGAUGUUAUAGAAAAACCAGAACAAGCUUUUUGGCCAACCCAAUAUAAUGA
rnacentral:miRNA from 1 species